UACGUAGGGUGCAAGCGUUGUCCGGAAUUAUUGGGCGUAAAGAGCUCGUAGGCGGUGUGUCGCGUCGGCCGUGAAAACCUGCAGCUUAACUGUGGGCUUGCGGUCGAUACGGGCAUCACUGGAGUUCGGCAGGGGAGACUGGAAUUCCUGGUGUAGCGGUGAAAUGCGUAGAGAUCCGGAGGAACACCAGUGGCGAAGGCGGCCCCCUGGGCCGCGCCUGACGCUGAGACGCGAAAGCGCGGGGAGCGAACGGG
rnacentral:rRNA from 1 species